rnacentral:piRNA from 1 species
UAUUAUCUCAAACGGCACAUUUCC